rnacentral:lncRNA from 1 species
AUGAACAUGACAACACAUGUGGUCCCAUCUUUCCAUCCCUCUAUCCCUCCAUCAGCUCUUCCACCUCCCGCAGGUAUCUGUCCUCUGGGACCUCAUCCACCUCCCGCAGGUAUCUGUCCUCUGGGACCUCAUCCACCUCCUGCAGGUAUCUGUCCUCCGGGACCUCAUCCACCUCCCGCAGAUGUCUGUCCUCCGGGACCUCAUCCACCUCCCGCAGAUGUCUGUCCUCCGGGACCUCAUCCACCUCCCGCAGGUAUCUGUCCUCCGGGACCUCAUCCACCUCCCGCAGGUGUCUGUCCUCCGGGACCUCAUCCACCUCCUGCAGAUGUCUGUCCUCCGGGACCUCAUCCACCUCCCGCAGGUAUCUGUCCUCCGGGAUCUCAUCCACCUCCCGCAGGUAUCUGUCCUCCGGGACCUCAUCCACCUCCUGCAGAUGUCUGUCCUCCGGGACCUCAUCCACCUCCUGCAGAUGUCUGUCCUCCGGGACCUCAUCCACCUCCCGCAGGUAUCUGUCCUCCGGGACCUCAUCCACCUCCCGCAGGUAUCUGUCCUCCGGGACCUCAUCCACCUCCUGCAGAUGUCUGUCCUCCGGGACCUCAUCCACCUCCCGCAGGUAUCUGUCCUCGGGACCUCAUCCACCUCCUGCAGAUGUCUGUCCUCCGGGACCUCAUCCACCUCCUGCAGGUAUCUGUCCUCCGGGACCUCAUCCACCUCCCGCAGGUAUCCGUCCUCCGGGACCUCAUCCACCUCCCGCAGGUAUCUGUCCUCCGGGACCUCAUCCACCUCCCGCAGGUAUCUGUCCUCCGGGACCUCAUCCACCUCCUGCAGGUAUCCGUCCUCCGGGACCUCAUCCACCUCCUGCAGAUGUCUGUCCUCCGGGACCUCAUCCACCUCCUGCAGGUAUCUGUCCUCCGGGACCUCAUCCACCUCCUGCAGAUGUCUGUCCUCCGGGACCUCAUCCACCUCCUGCAGGUAUCUGUCCUCCGGGACCUCAUCCACCUCCUGCAGGUAUCCGUCCUCCGGGACCUCAUCCACCUCCUGCAGCUGUCUGUCCUCCGGGACCUCAUCCACCUCCCGCAGGUGUCUGUCCUCUGGUACCUCAUGCACUUCCCGCAGGCAUCUGACCUCCGGGACCUCAUCCACCUCCCGCAGGCGUCGGACCUCCGGGACCUCAACUAUCUCCCGCAGGUAUCUGUCCUCCGGGACCUCAUCCACCUCCCGCAGGUAUCUGUCCUCCGGGACCUCAUCCACCUCCCGCAGGUAUCUGUCCUCCGGUACCUCAUCCACCACCCGCAGGUAUCUGUCCUCCGGGACCUCAUCCACCUCCCCCAGGUGUCUGUCCUCCGGGACCUUAUCCGCCUCCCGCAUGUAUCUGUCCUCCCGGACCUCAUCCACCUCCUGCAGGUAUCUGUCCUCCGGGACCUCAUCCACCUCCUGCAGCUGUCUGUCCUCCGGGACCUCAUCCACCUCCCGCAGGUGUCUGUCCUCUGGUACCUCAUGCACUUCCCGCAGGCGUCUGACCUCCGGGACCUCAUCCACCUCCUGCAGGCGUCGGACCUCCAGGACCUCAACUAUCUCCCGCAGCAGGUGUCUGUCCUCCAGGACCUCAUCCACUUCCGGCAGAUGCCCAUCCUCUCGGUCCUCAGCAAUUUUCUUUUGCUGUGUGGCCUGUGGGACCUCAGCCUACUCCUCCCCUUAGCAGCCCAUGGAGCCUCAGCCACCUCCUCUACCCCUCAAUUACCACUUUCACAUGAGUCUCCUCUGGUUCUUCAAUACUUUCCACACAUGGCCUGUGGGACUUCAGCCACCUUCUCCAGCCGGGUAUUCUCUAGUGUAUCAUCCACCUCCUCUACUUGGCUGUCCUCUGCCAUCUCAACCAAGGCCCUCACCUCAGUGUCCUGUGGGACCUCAGUCACCUCCUACAUGCCUGUGGCCUCUGGGACCUCAACCGCCACCUUCACAUGCACCACUUGGUAUGUUUUUCUGAAGAGUAUGAAUUGA